AUUGAACGCUGGCGGCAUGCCUUACACAUGCAAGUCGAACGGUAACAGGUCUUCGGAUGCUGACGAGUGGCGAACGGGUGAGUAAUACAUCGGAACGUGCCCGAUCGUGGGGGAUAACGGAGCGAAAGCUUUGCUAAUACCGCAUACGAUCUACGGAUGAAAGCAGGGGACCGCAAGGCCUUGCGCGGACGGAGCGGCCGAUGGCAGAUUAGGUAGUUGGUGGGAUAAAAGCUUACCAAGCCGACGAUCUGUAGCUGGUCUGAGAGGACGACCAGCCACACUGGGACUGAGACACGGCCCAGACUCCUACGGGAGGCAGCAGUGGGGAAUUUUGGACAAUGGGCGAAAGCCUGAUCCAGCGACGCCGCGUGGGGGAUGACGGUCUUCGGAUUGUAAAACCCCUUUCAGUAGGGACGAAGCGCAAGUGACGGUACCUGCAGAAGAAGCACCGGCCAACUACGUG
rnacentral:rRNA from 1 species